AUUGAACGCUGGCGGCAGGCCUAACACAUGCAAGUCGAAUGGUAACAGGAAACAGCUUGCUGUUUCUCUGACGAGUGGCGGACGGGUGAGUAAUGUCUGGGAAACUGCCUGAUGGAGGGGGAUAACUACUGGAAACGGUAGCUAAUACCGCAUAACGUCGCAAGACCAAAGAGGGGGACCUUCGGGCCUCUUGCCAUCAGAUGUGCCCAGAUGGGAUUAGCUAGUAGGUGGGGUAACGGCUCACCUAGGCGACGAUCCCUAGCUGUUCUGAGAGGAUGACCAGCCACACUGGAACUGAGACACGGUCCAGACUCCUACGGGAGGCAGCAGUGGGGAAUAUUGCACAAUGGGCGCAAGCCUGACGCAGCCAUGCCGCGUGUAUGAAGAAGGCCUUCGGGUUGUAAAGUACUUUCAGCGGGGAGGAAGGGAGUAAAGUUAAUACCUUUGCUCAUUGACGUUACCCGCAGAAGAAGCACCGGCUAACUCCGUG
rnacentral:rRNA from 1 species